rnacentral:tRNA from 1 species
GCGCUGGUGGUUCAGUGGUAGAAUUCUCGCCUGCCACGCGGGAGACCGGGGUUCGAUUCCCCGCUGGCGCA